rnacentral:piRNA from 1 species
UCUAAACAGUGACCUGUUGUAUGGGC